AAACGACUCUCGGCAACGGAUAUCUCGGCUCUCGAUCGAUGAAGAACGUAGCGAAAUGCGAUACUUGGUGUGAAUUGCAGAAUCCCGUGAACCAUCGAGUCUUUGAACGCAAGUUGCCCCGAAGCCAUUCGGCUGAGGGCACGUCUGCCUGGGCGUCAGC
rnacentral:rRNA from 1 species